ensembl:ncRNA C30F8.6 ncRNA
CAAGGUACUCCCGGUUGAUUGCACCGCCCAUUGCGGAGGACCUGUGCCGUCCUCUUCGUCCGCAAGGACAGAUGGCCUCCAUCCGCUCAUCACAUUCCUCUUAUUUCUCUUUAUAUAUUGCUUCUUCAUCU